rnacentral:rRNA from 1 species
CCUACGGGUGGCAGCAGUGAGGAAUAUUGGUCAAUGGACGAGAGUCUGAACCAGACAAGUAGCGUGAAGGAUGACUGCCCUAUGGGUUGUAAACUUCUUUUAUAUGGGAAUAAAACGUUCCACGUGUGGGAUUUUGUAUGUACCAUAUGAAUAAGGAUCGGCUAACUCCGUGCCAGCAGCCGCGGUAAUACGGAGGAUCCGAGCGUUAUCCGGAUUUAUUGGGUUUAAAGGGAGCGUAGGUGGAUUGUUAAGUCAGUUGUGAAAGUUUGCGGCUCAACCGUAAAAUUGCAGUUGAAACUGGCAGUCUUGAGUACAGUAGAGGUGGGCGGAAUGCGUGGUGUAGCGGUGAAAUGCUUAGAUAUCACGAAGAACUCCGAUUGCGAAGGCAGUUCACUGGACUGCAACUGACACUGAGGCUCGAAAGUGUGGGUAUCAAACAGGAUUAGAUACCCUGGUAGUC